UACGUAGGGUGCUAGCGUUGUCCGGAAUUAUUGGGCGUAAAGAGCUCGUAGGCGGUCUGUCACGUCGGCUGUGAAAUCCCGAGGCUCAACCUCGGGUCUGCAGUCGAUACGGGCAAACUAGAGUAUUGCAGGGGAGACUGGAAUUCCUGGUGUAGCGGUGAAAUGCGCAGAUAUCAGGAGGAACACCGGUGGCGAAGGCGGGUCUCUGGGCAAUAACUGACGCUGAGGAGCGAAAGCGUGGGGAGCGAACAGG
rnacentral:rRNA from 1 species